rnacentral:rRNA from 1 species
CCUACGGGAGGCUGCAGUGAGGAAUAUUGGUCAAUGGCCGGAAGGCUGAACCAGCCAAGCCGCGUGAAGGACGAAGGUGCCAAGCAUUGUAAACUUCUUUUGUCAAGGGACAAAAUCAGGCUCGAGAGCCUGACCGAGGGUACUUGAAGAAAAAGCAUCGGCUAACUCCGUGCCAGCAGCCGCGGUAAUACGGAGGAUGCGAGCGUUAUCCGGAUUUACUGGGUGUAAAGGGUGCGUAGACGGCCUCGUAAGUCUGAGGUAAAAGCCCGGGGCUCAACCCCGGCCCGCCGUUGAAACUGGCAGUCUCGAGUUGGAGAGAGGUAUGCGGAAUGCGCGGUGUAGCGGUGAAAUGCAUAGAUAUCGCGCAGAACUCCGAUUGCGAAGGCAGCAUGCCGGCUCCACACUGACGCUGAGGCACGAAAGCGUGGGGAUCGAACAGGAUUAGAUACCCGAGUAGUC